rnacentral:lncRNA from 1 species
AAUAACCAAAUACAUGAAUGAUAUAUAUUUUAAAUACUCAAUUACUUAUACAUAUGGGUAUAUCCCUCAUAAAAAUCUACAAUAUUUGUUGUUUGUUGUGUACUUAUAAAAUCCUACAAAGAUCACACGUAUUAUAUUCAAUAACUCCCUCUCACACGUUCUAUCUCUCUACACAUAUCUCUCACAAAUAUUAUAUAUCCCAAAACAAUGACACAUAUCUCUCUACACGUAUCUCUCACAAAUAUUAUAUAUCCACAAAGAUACUGCAAGAGUACUCUCCAAAUUCUAUAUUUGAUCAUAUUGUACCAGAAGUCUCCCAAAAAUCUGCUUGAGAUCAUGAAGUUAUAGAUACAAAUUGUUCCCAUCUUCCCCCUUUACCUGUCGAUUCCCAGAUGUAACACACCCCCUUGAUCAACCUUGCAGCCACCACCUUCGAUUGCUGCCAAGAACAACCAAGAGGGCAGUAGCCCGUUUCUUCUUCGUGUUUCCUUUUCCUUCCAAACAAUCAAAACCCAAACAUCCUUUCCCUAGAUCGAUUUCUGUCAAAAGAAAACCAAUCAUCCAAUUUCCAAUGAUUUCUAUAAAAAAAAACAGGAAGAAAAGAUGAGGAGAGCUGCCGGAGCAGCCCCCGUCCACGUACCUUUCAACCACCGAGAGCAAGACCCACCGAAGUGCGUGUUUCCCCGGAGCAAACACCGCAGGCGACCGUCCCCUCUGAUCCCUCGCCCCCUUACCUACCGCUACGACGCUGCUGCCCUACUCCAUCCCGUUCUUCCCUUCGGCCCGUCAAACCCAGGAGACCACAUCGGUUUGCGAAGCGAAGCCGAUCGAGGAAACCCUUUCUGGCCUCCUUCCUUUCGCAAACCACGUAGCCACACCGAUCGACGAAACCCUUUUU